UACGGAGGGGGCAAGCGUUGUUCGGAAUUACUGGGCGUAAAGGGCACGUAGGCGGCAAUGCGGGUCAGGUGUGAAAGCCCCGGGCUUAACCUGGGAACUGCACUUGAAACUGCAUUGCUAGAGGACGGAAGAGGAGAAUGGAAUUCCCAGUGUAGAGGUGAAAUUCGUAGAUAUUGGGAAGAACACCAGUGGCGAAGGCGAUUCUCUGGUCCGUAUCUGACGCUGAGGUGCGAAAGCGUGGGGAGCAAAC
rnacentral:rRNA from 1 species